UUAGCUCCACAAUUUUUCCUUGCAAGCUUAUCCACAAUGACCACUGUAUUUAUUACAAGCACAAAAUUAUAAUUAUUAUUUUUUGUUAUAUAUAUAAACAAGGCCCAGCCAAGGUUUUUGAGUUUUAGAAUAAAAUGCACCAUCUUUUUAAACAAAUGUAACCCUUCUAAAGGGAAAUCAAUCCAAUGCCUAAGAGUACAAGUUAACAGACAUGGAUCUCGAGGUUGGAGAAGGUAGAUAUACCAUGUUACACGCUCAAACAGGGACCCACGGAAGGAAGCUGAGACCCUCAAACAAGGUUGCAGCUGCUACUUAAUUUCAAAGGUGGACAAAGUCUAGCCAGUUCUCCGCGUUUUUCUUUCCUGAAAGUGCUGUUGGAAAUGUCUCGGACAUGGUGUACCUCAGCACCAGACCAGUUAUUAAUCCUCCGACCAUGAGGAAAUAUCCCAGAACCCUUUCAAAGGCAAUGUGUGAAUCAAACCUUGGACAUGGAAGCAAAUCGUGCCAGAGCUCAACCACUCUAAAGUCAAACAAACCUCCGGGUAGAAAGAUUCCACACUCAAUACAAGACCUUGAAAGGCAAAAUGUUAGCCAAAUUCGGCAAUUAACAUAAUGUAAUUAAAAUAAAUGGUGAAUUGUGAAAUAGCACACGUUUACAUGCUA